rnacentral:rRNA from 1 species
AAUUUUUACUUUAGUGGCGGACGGGUGAGUAACGCGUGGGUAACCUGCCUUAUACAGGGGGAUAACACUUAGAAAUAGGUGCUGAGACCGCAUAAGCGCCCAGGGCCGCAUGGCCCAGGGUGAAAAACUCCGGUGGUAUAAGAUGGGCCCGCGUCUGAUUAGCCAGUUGGCAGGGUAACGGCCUACCAAAGCGACGAUCAGUAGCCGGCCUGAGAGGGUAGACGGCCACAUUGGGACUGAGACACGGCCCAAACUCCUACGGAAGGCAGCAG